UACGAAGGGGGCUAGCGUUGCUCGGAAUCACUGGGCGUAAAGCGCACGUAGGCGGCUUUUUAAGUCAGGGGUGAAAUCCUGGAGCUCAACUCCAGAACUGCCUUUGAUACUGAGAAGCUUGAGUCCGGGAGAGGUGAGUGGAACUGCGAGUGUAGAGGUGAAAUUCGUAGAUAUUCGCAAGAACACCAGUGGCGAAGGCGGCGCACUGGCCCGGUACUGACGCUGAGACGCGAAAGCGUGGGGAGCAAACAGG
rnacentral:rRNA from 1 species